rnacentral:lncRNA from 1 species
UAUAGCAUAAUUUCGAUCUGGCCGUUCCAGUCAUUCCUAUUACGAUACGCCAGUCAACUGUCAAUGUCAGGUAGUUUUCUCUCAUUUCCAUUGACAAGGGAGUCGUCUCAAUAUCUUUGCUUCUUGUUGUGUGGUGUAAAAAUUCCAAAAUUGUGUAAAUUUUAAAAAAUUUUAAAAUGCCAGCAAUUCGAAAAUGUUGUGUCCGUGAGUGUAAUAACGACAACAAAAAGUGCAUUUUGUUCCUUUGGCCGAAAAAUGAAAAAAUCGCAAGAAAGUGGUGCCGAAAUCUAGGCUUCGAGGGAAGAAAAAUAGCCACCACAAACACGUUUGUUUGUGCAAUGCAUUUUGAGGAUUAUGCACUAGGGGCUAAGAAAUUGAAAAUUGGAGCUGUUCCUACCCUAAAACUCGGAAAAUCCGAUGAUGCUGUUUACUUGUCAAUAAAGAAGAGUAGAAGAGAAGUACGGACCUGCUGUGCUAAGGGAUGUCCAUCGGAUGAAAAAGACAUACUCUUUGCAUUCCCCGAUGAUGAGACUGACUUCAAUAACUGGGUUUUAGCAUUAAAAAUAAGUACAUCAUACUCCGACCGAAGAAAGUUGUUUAUUUGUGACCGUCAUUUUGAUGUGGACUCAAUUAUAAAUAAGAAACUUAAAAAAGGGGCUAUCCCGAAGCAUAAUUUAUUUUAUGAAACUAUAGGUAAUUGUAGCAGCUUUUCUUCAAAUAGAGUCCUUCAGCCUACUAAACGUCAGUAGUCAUAUACUAAACAGAAAGGUUAGAGGAACAUUUAUGUUCGGGGAACUUCAAAUUAAGUAUAUUCGGAUCUCGAGGUGAAACGUUAACAAUACAAUGUUUCCUCCAACCUUGAUUCCUCAAAAUAUGUCCAAGAAUCUUGCGCAUGGAAUGCACGAGCUUGUCAACAGAGCGCUAAUAAGCAAAAUCAACGCAUAAAUGCGCUCAGGCAGGAGAACAGGAUUUUAAAACAAAAACUAUUUGAGUUAGGGAAUUGGGCAAUUAUUUCAUCCAAAAAUUGCUAAUGAAAAUGCAAUAAACUUGGUAGAAGGGGUGUCAAUUCAUAAAGUUCAUAGCAGAAGAUUAGAACAAUUUAGCGCAUUUAAGAAAUUUAAAAUGUCGUAGGAAAUUGUAAUUAAAGCAAUUUUUUUAUAAUAAAAGUAUUGUCAUCGACGGUUUCGUUAGCAAAGAGGACGGAAAAAAGGAAUUAAAUGCAGCCAACAAAUGCAGUUUCUUCUAUGUUAGCCUACGUGAAAAGUUCUUUGCCUAUAUGACUAUUGCCAUUUGAUUAAGUCGUUUAAGCAGAAAUUUCUUAAAGUAAGACUUUAAAAUUAUCGGUGGUGUAGAAGAAAGCUGCACGCAAUUAUUGGUGGGAGUUAUAAUUGUAAAAUAUUUCCGUCGUUGACAUGCUCCCACAAUGUGGAACCCACAUAUGUAUGUAUGUAAGUGUCCUUUCCAAAUGGCGUUGACAUGGAAUUCAGAUAUGGAUUAUUACGUACUAUUUAAAUGCGCCAAAGUGGCUUAAAUGUUUGUGAAGCGCUAGAACGACUUUGUCGUAACAGUACUCUUACAUAUUUAAAAAUGCGAAAUGGUUCGUUGAAGAAAAGCUGCAAGAAAACAUUUACCUACUUUAGUAUAGUAAAUUAAAGAAUUUAAUAAGAGCAACGGGAUUAUGUAGUACUUAUUUUGAAUUAUUGGCAAUAACUACAAGGCGCGUUUUUGUAAGUGCUGCCUUAAUACAUAAAUACAGUUUGCAAAAAUACGAUUUUACCUUGCGUAAGAGUUGUUUAAUUUGUUAUGCUUUGAUUUUUUGACGGUAGAAAUAACGGACACAAAAACUGAUAAAAAACGGAACCACGAAAGUAAUAUUAUUUUAAUGGAAACAGAGUUUAGUGCCAAAAAAUGAAUAGAAAGACAAGUUGAGCGUGACAUUGAGGAAAAUUGUGUGGAACGAAUUUUGUAUGUUCCGAGCUAUUUCUCUAAAUUUUACGCAGUGAAUAAAUUUAUUGCUAUAUUUAAGUUUCCAAAAAUAAAAUAGAAGAUUUUUCCUUUAA